AACCGGAUUAGAUACCCUGGUAGUCCACGCCGUAAACGGUGGGUACUAGGUGUGGGUUUCCUUCCUUGGGAUCCGUGCCGUAGCUAACGCAUUAAGUACCCCGCCUGGGGAGUACGGCCGCAAGGCUAAAACUCAAAGAAAUUGACGGGGGCCCGCACAAGCGGCGGAGCAUGUGGAUUAAUUCGAUGCAACGCGAAGAACCUUACCUGGGUUUGACAUGCACAGGACGACGGUAGAGAUAUCGUUUCCCUUGUGGCCUGUGUGCAGGUGGUGCAUGGCUGUCGUCAGCUCGUGUCGUGAGAUGUUGGGUUAAGUCCCGCAACGAGCGCAACCCUUGUCUCAUGUUGCCAGCGCGUUAUGGCGGGGACUCGUGAGAGACUGCCGGGGUCAACUCGGAGGAAGGUGGGGAUGACGUCAAGUCAUCAUGCCCCUUAUGUCCAGGGCUUCACACAUGCUACAAUGGCCGGUACAAAGGGCUGCGAUGCCGCGAGGCUUAGCGAAUCCUUUAAAGCCGGUCUCAGUUCGGAUCGGGGUCUGCAACUCGACCCCGUGAAGUCGGAGUCGCUAGUAAUCGCGGAUCAGCAACGCUGCGGUGAAUACGUUCCCGGGCCUUGUACACACCGCCCGUCACGUCAUGAAAGUCGGUAACACCCGAAGCCAGUGGCCUAACCCUUGUGGGGGGAGCUGUCGAAGGUGGGAUCGGCGAUUGGGACGAAGUCGUAACAAGGUAACCGUAAAU
rnacentral:rRNA from 1 species